GAGGGGCACAGCUCAGUCGUAGAGCACAUGCUUGGUAUGCACAAGGUCCUGGGUUCAAUCCCCAGGACCUCCA
rfam:Camelus ferus unplaced genomic scaffold scaffold645, whole genome shotgun sequence.